CCUACGGGAGGCAGCAGUGAGGAAUAUUGGUCAAUGGACGAGAGUCUGAACCAGCCAAGUAGCGUGAAGGAUGACUGCCCUAUGGGUUGUAAACUUCUUUUAUAAAGGAAUAAAACGAGGCACGUGUGCCUUUUUGCAUGUACUUUAUGAAUAAGGAUCGGCUAACUCCGUGCCAGCAGCCGCGGUAAUACGGAGGAUCCGAGCGUUAUCCGGAUUUAUUGGGUUUAAAGGGAGCGUAGAUGGGUUGUUAAGUCAGUUGUGAAAGUUUGCGGCUCAACCGUAAAAUUGCAAUUGAUACUGGCAGUCGUGAGUACAGUUGAGGUAGGCGGAAUUCGUGGUGUAGCGGUGAAAUGCUUAGAUAUCACGAAGAACCCCGAUUGCGAAGGCAGCUUACUAAGCUGUGACUGACAUUGAUGCUCGAAAGUGUGGGUAUCAAACAGGAUUAGAUACCCUGGUAGUC
rnacentral:rRNA from 1 species